AGGAAGCAGACCAAAGGGCAGAAGCUGGUGUGGUGAUUAGCGUGGCAGGAUGCAGCAGUGUGAAG
rnacentral:lncRNA from 1 species